GUGAACUUUAAGAUCCCAGACCACAUAUACUAAAAUUGGAACAAUACAGAGAAGAUUGUCUGGCCCCUGUGCAAAAAUGACACACAAAUUUGUGAAGCAUUACUUAUUUUU